UACAUCUGGGGCCUGUUGCACAAAAGUAGAAUUAAGACAUCCGGGAUAAAUGACUCAGCUGAGCUCAAUGAAGCCAAAACAUGUGCGUCCAGGCUUAAUUGGUUGCACAAAGACCAAGCCAGGAUGAGCAGACACGGAUUCAUUAAGCCAGGUGAAACCAAUCCUGGAUAGGUGCGCGCUCACGGCUCACUCAAAUAGACCCCGCCACAGAUCACAGAUUAACUGAUUUACCAUGGCAACUAGAGCCGCGUACUUUUCCCCGUCGGAAGCACAAAUCCUCAUGGAGGCAUACGAGGAGGUAAAAUAUAUAAUUAAGAAGAAAGGCAACACCGCCACAGUGAUAAAGCAAAGAGAAAAAGCGUGGCAAAGUAUUGCAGACCGCCUGAAUGCGUAAGUAGUGCACAAUUACACAGUCACCGCUCCGCUGAAACAUCACAAUUACAAUUCAAAUAUUUAAUUCACAUCUCCAAAAAUGCAGUUGUACUGUAAUUAUGAAACGGUUAAAUUUUUAAUUGAAAUGCACUGCAGAUAUGAGUGAAAUUGUGUAAAGUAACUCCAUCACACUGUAUAAAGCUAUGAUAGAUUUUUUUGAUAUUUUUACUGAAAACAAGACAAAAAUACCAAGUAAUUUUUUGCAGUGUGACUCCAUUAAAUGUGUGUGUGUGUGUGUGUGUGUGUGUGUGUGUAGAUUAAACAUGAACGGGCCAAAACGGACAUGGCAGCAGGUCAAAAUCAAAUACAAGAACAUUCUGCAGAAUGCAGUGAAAAAGAAUACCCACAGACAAGGCACGGGUGGUGGGUCACCAAAGGCUGACCUUACCCCAGCAGAGGACAUGGCCUUGGAGCUAAAUAAAGGCAGGCCCGUCUUAGAGGGGAUCCCUGGGGGGAAAGAGACGAGCAUAGGUUCCUCCCAAGAUGCCACCCGCUUCAUUCAAGGUAUGUCCUUCCAUCUCUACAUGGGAUACAACCACAUUCAUAUUGAAUCAAUUUGGACUGUCUGACUUUGGUUUACCUAUUGCCUUGCAGUGUCUGGCAGCACUGUGUUCCUGUUAGAGCCACCAGCACAAGCACCAGACGAUGCUGAUCCAGUGAGUACUCCAUCAAAGGCAUACUGUAGGCCUGGCAUGUCUUGUCUACUAGCUUCAAUAUGAAUCCGAUUAAAUGUGAUAGGGUGAAGGCCCCAGUACAGCAGCAACAGCACAUGAUGGAGACGAUGAUGAGGAGGAGACCAUCUCUCUGGAUUCCAGAAGGCAUGAGGUAUCAUGUUAAGACUGUGAAAGUACUAUUUACUCUACAAUGGUGAGGAGUCCUCAUCAAAAUCAAAAAAUCUAAUUUCUUUUACAGGACCCAGAUGCUAUACAGUGGGAAAACCAGCCUGGCAACAUAGUGCGUAUUAAUAAAAGGACACCACAUCCUGCCAAAUUCCAGCUGCGCUAAUUGUAUUGUGUUCACAGAGCUCACAAGCUAUCAGAAAGUUGUAUGGCAACCACCUCCGGCGCCAAAUAGAACUGGCAGACAUAGACAUUCAGUACAAGAAGAAAAAGAUGGAAAAUCUUGCACUGGAGUCCGAAAUAAAAAAGAGGACAAUUAGGAAACUGGACCUUGAAAUAAAAAAACUUGAGAGGGAGGUGAGAUAUGCCUUCAAUGUACACUGUAUGCUAACUGUAACACAAAUGUAUUAAUCAUUAUUUUUCUUUCCUCCCCCAGCUCCAAGAAGAUGACACAGCUCAAAAUAAAAAUUAGGUAUAUUCUCGUAAAGUCAAGUGAGCCAUGACAUAUGAGCUCUUAUUGUGAGCACACAGGACGGUGGCAUCUUUCUAAGGUUUUUUUUAUUUUCCCAGCAAUCAGUACAACCAAGUCAUCGUUAUAAGGCAUCGCCCUCUUUUGCCCACCCCCCCAGCAUC
rnacentral:lncRNA from 1 species